CUGGUUGAUCCUGCCAGUAGUCAUAUGCUUGUUUCAAGGACUAAGCCAUGCAUGCCUCAGAAUCACUGCAUUGCAGGAAUCUGCGCAUGGCUCAUUACAUCAGACGUAAUCUGCCGCAAAAAUCUUGCGGUUUACCGCACUAUUGGAUAACUUGGCGAAACGCCAAGCUAAUACAUGAACCAAUCGGACGUGCUCCAUCCACGCAGUAUGCGGCUUGCCGUAUGCUGCAGCGAGUCGUCCAGCGAAUGAAUGAAAUUAAAACCAAUGCCGCGGACGCGGCAGCAGCACCCAGAAGUGUUGACUCAAUUCAUUCCGUGCGAAAGCUGGGCAACCAGCGUAUUUUGACGAACAACUGCCCUAUCAGCCAGUGAUGGCCGUGUAGUGGACUGCCAUGGCGUUGACGGGAGCGGGGGAUUAGGGUUCGAUUCCGGAGAGGGAGCCUGAGAAAUAGCUACCACUUCUACGGAGGGCAGCAGGCGCGCAAAUUGCCCAAUGUCGAGAAAAACGAUGAGGCAGCGAAAAGAAAUAGGCCUCCCAGCCACUUGUGGUUGGGAGAUUACAAUGGGGGAUAUUUAAUGCCAUCCAAAAUCGAGUAACAAUUGGAGGGCAAGUCUGGU
rnacentral:rRNA from 1 species